UACGAAGGGGGCUAGCGUUGCUCGGAAUCACUGGGCGUAAAGGGUGCGUAGGCGGGUCUUUAAGUCAGGGGGUGAAAUCCUGGAGCUCGAACUCCAGAACUGCCUUUGAUACUGAGGAUCUUGAGUUCGGGAGAGGUGGAGUGGAACUGCGAGUGUAGAGGUGAAAAUUCGUAGAUAUUCGCAAGAACACCAGUAGGCGAAGGCGGCUCACUGGCCCGAUACCGUG
rnacentral:rRNA from 1 species